UACGUAGGGUGCAAGCGUUAUCCGGAAUUAUUGGGCGUAAAGAGCUCGUAGGCGGUUUGUCGCGUCUGCCGUGAAAGUCCGGGGCUCAACUCCGGAUCUGCGGUGGGUACGGGCAGACUAGAGUGAUGUAGGGGAGACUGGAAUUCCUGGUGUAGCGGUGAAAUGCGCAGAUAUCAGGAAGAACACCCGUGGCUAAGGCGGCUCUCUAGUACGGUACUGACGCUGAGACGCGAAAGCGUGGGGAGCGAACAGG
rnacentral:rRNA from 1 species